rnacentral:rRNA from 1 species
UGCAGUCGNACGCUUCUUUUUCCACCGGAGCUUGCUCCACCGGAAAAAGAGGAGUGGCGAACGGGUGAGUAACACGUGGGUAACCUGCCCAUCAGAAGGGGAUAACACUUGGAAACAGGUGCUAAUACCGUAUAACAAUCGAAACCGCAUGGUUUUGAUUUGAAAGGCGCUUUCGGGUGUCGCUGAUGGAUGGACCCGCGGUGCAUUAGCUAGUUGGUGAGGUAACGGCUCACCAAGGCGACGAUGCAUAGCCGACCUGAGAGGGUGAUCGGCCACAUUGGGACUGAGACACGGCCCAAACUCCUACGGGAGGCAGCAGUAGGGAAUCUUCGGCAAUGGACGAAAGUCUGACCGAGCAACGCCGCGUGAGUGAAGAAGGUUUUCGGAUCGUAAAACUCUGUUGUUAGAGAAGAACAAGGAUGAGAGUAACUGUUCAUCCCUUGACGGUAUCUAACCAGAAAGCCACGGCUAACUACGUGC